UCUAGACACAUUUUUACUAUUUUAACAGGAAGACAUUAAAGGAUUAAACAGAAAGAGAAAAUGAGAGUGCGAGAAUAAGACCUGACAAUAAAAGACACCGGAGGAGACACGGGAGGAGGAAGCCGUCUCCGAUCCAAUGAAAUGGAAGAACCGGUCAGGUGUAGGAGAUGUGUAGCAAACUGCAGGAUGAUGUUGAGCACCGAGGUCGUGCCGACAAAGAAAUCGGAGCGGAGAUGGACCCAGCAACAACGUUGUUGACUUAAACAAAAGGUAUUUUUUGUUUAAUUAGGGUUUCUUCUUUUUUCUUCGAGAUUAUCUUCUCAAUUCUUCUGAUCAUCAAUUAUUGUUAAGUUUAGGGCUUAAUAGUUUAUGAAGUAUUGGGUAAAAAGAAAGUAAAAUAGAAGAUUCUUUUGGGUUUAUUUGUAGAGAUUUAGUUUCUAUAAAUCAAGAAUCGGUUAUGAAAUUUUCAGUAAAUUUAUGAGAUUGUGUUGCAUAGUUGUAUAAUUUGCUUUUUAUUAAUGAUAAUGAUAAAUGGAGGGGCCAUAAAGUUAGCAAGAAAUGUGGGAUGGUGCUAAUUAGUCGCUGUAUUUUUGUCAUUGUGAAGAUGAAAACAUCUCCAAAUACAACCCACCUUUAUUUUCUUAGUCAAUAAUGAAGGGUAAUGAAGGAAAUAAAAAAAAAUCCAUGAAGUCUAUGUUGCACCAUAUAACAUACUUAGAUGAUGAUUUUAAAGAUAGACGGUAUGCCUAAAUUUUUUUCAGUUAAAGGGGUUUGUUCUAGGGUUUGUGAGUAAUGUCAUCGAUUUAGGUAUGUAUUUAAUAAUUUUACUGAUAAGUUAUAGACAAUGGUAGCCAACCUUAAUUCCACAAGAGCCGUAUGUGUGAUCUAUCUCCCAUCUUUGUUUCUAUCUUUUUAUUCUAAAAGGAUAAUUUUAUGCGGGGUGUGGCAUUAAAAGGGAUGGGUUGGUGUUGUUGGAAGAAAGAUACGGUAAUCAGACUAAUCAAUCAUAAAUUAGUAUAUUUUCCAUCUAUAUUAUGCAUAUGAACGUAUGAUCAUUACAUUAAUUCUUCAUGUUGUUUAUGAAGUCAUAUAUGAUUGUGUUUAUGUUUUCAUCAUUUGAAUAAACUUGUAAGUUUGAGCAUCUGUGUGGUCUUUGAUAAAUUAGUAUAUUCUCCUUGUAAAAUGUGUUUCUGACCUUUUUUUGUUGCAAGAUGUUAUAAAGGGUGAUGGAAUGCCAAAUAAAUACUGCAAGGUCAUAAAGGUAUCACUUCUUUUAAUAUAUACAAUCACAGAGUGGAAGAAUCACCUUUGUUCUUAUAUUAGCAUUUCAUGGCAGAUUGGUUUUACUAAUUUUUUUUUUAUAUUAUCUUGAAUCCAAAUGCUAAUAUAUGUAGGAAUCGCUGAUGAACGACAAGAUGUUUUCACAACAGGUAAUGUAAUGGAAUAGAUGAUUUAUGAGUAGGGUGAAUUGUGAUAAAGUUUUGUGAUUGUUAAUAUUUUAGGGGCUAGAGAAAUUGAAACAUAAUGACCUUUGAAAAUGUUAGUAAUUAAUGGGUUCCUUCUUAAAGUAAGAAUAAAUGUGUUGAUGAGUAUUAUUGUAGAUGUAAGGAAUUAGAAAAAUGAAAAAAGAAAUGAUAGGAACCUUAGUAUAAAAUGUAAUAUUGAUAAACGAAAAAAAAGGGCAGGUAGGAAGAGUCAUUUAUGAAUAGUUGAAAAUAUUUUGUAAAGAAGAAAUUUAGAAAUUGUUUGGGAAUUAUGCAGUUUUAUUCUUAUAAAGGAAGUAUUGGAACAGAGGCCUGAUUUCUGUCUGGUAGGAGAAUUUCAAGUAGGAAGGUAUGAUUUUUUGUGAAAUAAAUGUAAAAUAUAUAAUAUAUAAUAUUGGUUUUGUUGAAGAUAUAUGCAUUUUGCAGUUAUAUUGAGGUUGAAGAAAUGACAACGGGAAGUAUUAAUUAAAAGUUGAAACUGAAAUGGAGGAGAGUAAAGUCUCUGCUGUGAUUGUGAUAUUUUUCUUCGCCCAUCAGCUCGUUUGUUGUUGUCUGGAUCUACAAAGACUUUAUUCUUUGGUUAUUUUGGAUUGAAGAUAAUAAUAGCAUAAUAUUCUAUGAGUCACAUGUGUUUUUAUCUUUUUGAUUGGUUUUUUUAUAGCAUGUAUAUGUAGUUUUUUUUGAAUUAUUGAUCCCAUAUUAUUAUGUAAUACACAUGAGAAUUCAAAUAUAUAUUUGUAAAACAUUAAUGAUUGGUAUUUUGUGCUUUCUUUGUCAAUGACUGAUUUAAAUAUCUA
rnacentral:lncRNA from 1 species